ACGGGAGGCAGCAGUGGGGAAUAUUGCACAAUGGGGGAAACCCUGAUGCAGCGACGCCGCGUGAGUGAAGAAGUAUUUCGGUAUGUAAAGCUCUAUCAGCAGGAAAGAAAAUGACGGUACCUGACUAAGAAGCCCCGGCUAACUACGUGCCAGCAGCCGCGGUAAUACGUAGGGGGCAAGCGUUAUCCGGAUUUACUGGGUGUAAAGGGAGCGUAGACGGUAAGGCAAGUCUGAAGUGAAAUGCCAGGGCUCAACCCUGGAACUGCUUUGGAAACUGUCCUACUAGAGUGCAGGAGAGGUAAGUGGAAUUCCUAGUGUAGCGGUGAAAUGCGUAGAUAUUAGGAGGAACACCAGUGGCGAAGGCGGCUUACUGGACUGUAACUGACGUUGAGGCUCGAAAGCGUGGGGAGCGAACAGGAUUAGAUACCCUGGUA
rnacentral:rRNA from 1 species